CUAGCAUAUUGUUUGGAGAAUUAUUCUCCUAGAAUAAUUUGAUGAAGCGUAAUAUCUGGGGUUACACGCUUAUUUGUAAUGCAACAAAAGUUGUUAUAAAAUACAACAGCAAUAGUUGGUAGCUAUAAAAGGCGUGUGGGAAGCCCUUUCGCGAAUACUAAAGUUGUGGUGACAAAAAAAAUUAUUAGUAAGCUAACUUUG
rnacentral:sRNA from 12 species